AAAGAACCCUGGUGAAGGGGAGUGAAAUAGACCCUGAAACCGUGUGCGUACAAGCAGCCGGAGCCCGCGAGGGGUGACGGCGUACCUUUUGUAUAAUGGGUCAGCGACUUACUGUUUGUGGCGAGCUUAACCGUAUAGGGGAGGCGAAGGGAAACCGAGUCUGAUAAGGGCGCAUAGUCGCAGGCAGUAGACCCGAAACCGGGUGAUCUAGUCAUGCCCAGGGUGAAGGUACCGUAACAGGUACUGGAGGCCCGAACCCACGCCCGUUGCAAAGGUCGGGGAUGAGGUGUGAUUAGGAGUGAAAAGCUAAUCGAACCCGGAGAUAGCUGGUUCUCCUCGAAAGCUAUUUAGGUAGCGCCUCGUACUGUAUCCUCUCGGGGGUAGAGCACUGUUAUGGCUAGGGGGUCAUCGCGACUUACCAAACCAUUGCAAAACUCCGAAUACCGAGACGGACUGUACGGGAGACACACGGCGGGUGCUAACGUCCGUCGUGAAAAGGGAAACAACCCAGACCCACAGCUAAGGU
rnacentral:rRNA from 1 species